GACGAACGCUGGCGGCGUGCUUAACACAUGCAAGUCGAACGGAAAGGCCCUGCUUUUGUGGGGUGCUCGAGUGGCGAACGGGUGAGUAACACGCGAGUAACCUGCCCUUGACUUUGGGAUAACUUCAGGAAACUGGGGCUAAUACCGGCUAGGAGCUCCUGCUGCAUGGUGGGGGUUGGAAAGUUUCGGCGGUUGGGGAUGGACUCGCGGCUUAUCAGCUUGUUAGUGGGGUAGUGGCUUACCAAGGCUUUGACGGGUAGCCGGCCUGAGAGGGUGACCGGCGAAAUUGGGACUGAGAGACGGCCCAGUGGCGUACGGGAGGCAGCAGUGGGGAAUCUUGCCGAAUGGGCGGAAGCCUGAUGGAGAAACGCCGCGUGCGGGAUAACGGCCUUCGGGUUGUAAACCGCUUUCGCCUGUGACGAAGCGUGAGUGACGGUAAUGGGUAAAGAAGCACCGGCUAACUACGUG
rnacentral:rRNA from 1 species